CCUACGGGAGGCAGCAGUGGGGAAUUUUCCGCAAUGGGCGAAAGCCUGACGGAGCAAUACCGCGUGAGGGAGGAAGGCUCUUGGGUCGUAAACCUCUUUUCUCAGGGAAGAACACAAUGACGGUACCUGAGGAAUAAGCAUCGGCUAACUCCGUGCCAGCAGCCGCGGUAAUACGGAGGAUGCAAGCGUUAUCCGGAAUGAUUGGGCGUAAAGCGUCCGCAGGUGGCAAUGUAAGUCUGCUGUUAAAGAGUGAGGCUCAACCUCAUAAGAGCAGUGGAAACUACAUAGCUAGAGUACGUUCGGGGCAGAGGGAAUUCCUGGUGUAGCGGUGAAAUGCGUAGAGAUCAGGAAGAACACCGGUGGCGAAGGCGCUCUGCUAGGCCGUAACUGACACUGAGGGACGAAAGCUAGGGGAGCGAAUGGGAUUAGAUACCCCAGUAGUCCUAGCCGUAAACGAUGGAUACUAGGCGUGGCUUGUAUCGACCCGAGCCGUGCCGUAGCUAACGCGUUAAGUAUCCCGCCUGGGGNGACGCGCGACGNGACACANAGAUAGAGNGNGAGAGNGCGAGACGACGACGAGGGAGAG
rnacentral:rRNA from 1 species